ACUUAAAAUGAAGAGUGUUCAUCAUUAUAAGUAAUGAUUUGUUUACUUCAAAAACAUCUUGUCUCAUUACAAAUACACCGCAUCACAAUGAACCUCAUGCCAUUUUCAAGAUACAAGAUUCUAGAUUUUUAUUUGUCAAAUACACAAUUGUACACAGUAUAUAACUUGCAGAAAUGAAAACCUGGCCUACUCCUCUUUAGACUGUGCAUUAAAUACUAAAUUAAAAUGAAAAAGAUCAGAAUGAAUAGAAAUUAUAAUGAUAAUGAGUCUUUAUUUAUCACAUAUACAUAUGCACAGUGAAAUUCUUUUCUUCGCAUACCUCAGCAUGUCAGGAAGCUGGGGUCAGAGCACAGGGUCAGCCAUGAUACAGCACCCCUGGAGCAGAGAGGGUUAAGGACCCAACCGUGGCAACUUGGUAGUGCUGGGGCUUGAACCCCCAACCUCAACCUCCUGAUCAAUAACCCAGAGCCUUAACUGCCAAGCCAAAAUAGAUAAGAGAUAAGAGAGAUGCAAACGUGUUGCAGUUGAAAAUGGCACAGAGGCACUGACCCCACUGAAAUCAGAUUGAUUUACAUCAAAACACUCCAUUUACAUACCAUCGGCGGAGUCUGUUUGUUUCAACUCAUGUAACCGUUUCUUUCUACUGCAGUGCGUUUUCAUCAUCCUCGUCCAGUUAAUUUUCAGUGGGCCCAGGGCCGAGAUCUGUUCCUACAGUAUGGUCAUAGUAUGCCUACCGUGUGUAUGAAGGUGCAAUGUACAAUGGGCCAAAAACACUGUUGAGCCUGUCCCAGUAACACUGUGUGCAGAGAAUUCACCAUGGAUGGGACGUCAAUCCAUCACAGGGCACCAUGCACUCACAUUUCCACACUCAUUGAUGCAUGGGGCAAUUUAGCGUAUGUUUUUGGACAGUGGGAAGAAAUCUGAGAACCCUGAGGUAACCCAUAUGGAAACAGGGAGAACAUGCAAAGCUCCACACAGACAGUAAUGCAAGUUCAGCAAACUGGAGGCUUUGGAGCUCUGAGGUGGCAGGACAAUCCACUCCAUAUUUCCAUAUUUACCUCCAUAUUUAAAGUUUAAUUUACAUUAAUGCCAAAUGUCAAUUUUUGCUUGAAUAAACCAGCCUUUUUCUAUGUUUUGUAAUUCUGCGAUAUGUAACACACUUGGGAAGGAAAAUGUAUGAUAAUAAUAAUUAUAUAUAUUCACAAAAACAUUGAAAAAUAUUGAAGUUUUCCACAGAAAUGUAUAACAGGUUACUCUAAAUAUUGGUAAUGUCACUCUAAACAUUGGUAAUAUUGGUAAAUAUUGGUACACAUUCCAGAUGUCAUAUCAUAGCAAACCAAACUCCAAUUCCCAGCAAACACCACGGCCUAUAAACAUGGCCUAUUCGGACUACACUCCCCAGACCACACAUAUGCUCCCUCGCUUACACCCAGCUUCCGAGUGAGCAAACAUCUACUUAAUCACACACACACACACACACACACACACACACACACACACACACACACACACACACACACAUAUACACUUUACACCUUGUCCUUGUACACUUAAUGUUACCACGAUUUUGUUUAUUGAUGCUUCCCUGGUUUUGAACAUAGUUUGUUUAUUGUUUCUGAUUUCUAGUCUAAUCUAGUCUGUUUGCCUGACCUUUGCCUGCUUACUGAUUUAGAACUUGACCAAAUGAUCAAAUAAAAUUUGGUUUAGUCAUAAAAGCAACCUUAUCUGCAACUGCUUCUGUUGCCUCCAUUAUAUGACACUAGAUUGCACAUUGUUUAUAGACCUACGUAUUAUUCAUUUAUAAUCUAGUUGAGAUCUUGUUUUCUUCAUGCACCCGCAUUUGCAGUUUGAUAUAACAGUUAUAAUGAUAAUGAGUCUUUAUUGAUCAUAUAUGCACUACAGCACAGUGGAAUUCUUCUUUUCACAUACCCCAGCAUGUCAGGAACAGAGACAGUUAAGGGCCUUGCUCAAAGGCCCAACAGUGGCUCAUUGGGAAUGCUGGGGCUUGAACCCCCAACCUUCCAAUCAGUAACCCAGAGUCUUAACCGCCAAGCCACCACUGCCCCAUCAUGAUGAAUAAUUCAUAUGAAAAUUAGUCCAUGACAUCAUAUAGCGACUUCUAGCAACUUUUUAAGAGCACUUUAGCUAAUUUUCUUUGAAAUGGUUAGUAAUCCUGAGCAGAAGGCAGGUGAUGACAUAUUUCAGCCAUGGAACAACAUACUUCCAAACAGAUGUUUUAGCCUAAACAAAAGAAAUGAAUCCACAAAUAGGCCACCACUUACUUUGCUUGGUUAGAAGGAAUUGAAAUUGAAAUCCUAGCUUUGUUACGAUGUGGUCAGCUCAUUUAGUUACACCUGUCACCAAACACAUCCAAAAUAAUAUAAUUUUUAUAUCAAAAUAUUUCAGCACAAGUCCCCUGUGUCUUCUACACCCUUGAUGGUGAGAAUUACCUGGGUAAUGUUUCCUGUGCAUACACACAUAUGCGAAGACUAUGGUCAGGCCCAACUGAGGAGAUUACAUGCAAAGUAAAUCCAACCACUCUGCCUCAUACUGCUCUCAUUGUUGAUAUAGCUGACCAUCACUGCAUUGUCUGAGUAAACCAACACAUGGGGAUAUGUCAGAACAGGUAAAAAGAACUUGAAGGCCAGAUGGACCAUGGACCUUGGACCAAGGCCCUUAACCCUCUAUUGCUCAGUUGUAUAAAAAAUGUAAGUCGCUCUGGAUAAGGGCGUCUGCCAAAAAUGCCAUAAAUGUUAAAAAAAAAAAAAAAAAAAAAAAAUGUAAAUGUUAAACGGGCUCACAUCGCAUUUAAUCUCUCACACUACCAAAUAUCUGCUUCUGGUCAAACCUGAUUAAAUUCUUGACCUGGAAAAAUUAAGACACAAUAUGGCUAAUUAUCAUAAAGUAGGUAUAAAAUACAUGACUGUAUCCCGAUUUGUCAUUGGAUUGGACCAAAGCAGCAGAUCUGUAGUUUGUUUCAAAUACUGUCAUGAGGACCCACUGAUCUGGUGUAGUUUCUGCCCAAUCAGCAAUGACUUUGACUGUAGAGUAUACUUUUGUCAGACCCUUUCAAGUGUGUGCCACUGGUUUUUGACACAGUUUGUUUUGAUUUCUAGUCUAGUCUAGCCUCCUUGCUGAUAACCUGCCCUUUGCCUGCUUACUGAUUUAGUAUCUGCAACUGCUUCCAUCUACACCUCCAUCAUAUAAUACUAGAUUGCACGUUAUUCAUUGACCUAAGUAUUUUGGCAUUUACUGUGUAUUGCAAAAUUGUCUGCAGGUAUUGUGACAUGAUAUAAAAUAUCACUUGGGCCUAGUGGUUUGGUAUUACAUACAUCACCUUGGUGUUUUGAAAUAAAGGAUGCCACACAGGUUUUAAUCUAGUUUAUUCUAGUGCUUAUUCAUCAGAAUAGAAAAAAACAAAGAGUUUGGAAAUGAUCUGUUUAUAAGUGAAGAAGAAAUAAAAUCCCUCCUUUUUUGUUUUCUGCUUUUUUCAUGUUUAAGAGGAACAGUGUUUAUUGAUUUACAGUCCAUUUAGAGAGGUGCUCUACCAUCUGCUCUAAUCUCACAUCAUUGCUCAUACGUCAUUACACUAAACUCAAAUGACUGUACGGACACACUAACACACACACACACACACACACACACACACACACACACAUACACACACACACACACUUAUUAACCCUGUUAUCUCCUGCCGUUAUCUCCAGUGUUCACGUAAUGGAGCAUGUACAGUUGCUACAUGUUGACAGUGUGAUGGUUAAAUUGGCGUAUCAUAAACUUCUUAUUUGAACCUGACAUCGAUCAGUAAAACAAGAAUGAAAUGGUGACAUAGAGAAAGCAAGGAUAAUGAACAUUGAUACUGACAAAUGACAAAUAUAUAUAUAUAUAUAUAUAUAUAUAUAUAUAUAUAUAUAUAUAUAUAUAUAUAUAUAUAUGAAUAAAAUGUUGACUGUACAGUUAUAAAAUAUGUCGAACAAAAUGUUACAAAUAAAAUUAAUUUGUAUAAAAUCUAUUGCAUUAAAUUUUUCAUUUAAAAGGUGUGUAUGACUGCAUAUCUACUGCAGGCCAUGUCACAGAACUUGUAGAAAUCCAUCACUCUUCUAUGGAAGAACAGACGGUCUCCUGCCCUGAGCAUGUUCCAGGUGGUGGAGGAUAUGAUGAAUAUGAAGAAUAUAAAGCCGCUCACCCAGCGCAGCCACCCCGGCAAUGGUGCCUACUGCUACUCCUGCUGCCUCGCCUGCGGUUAAACCCUCCUGUUGUCCUUGGUCAGGGGGG